rnacentral:rRNA from 1 species
GACGAACGCUGGCGGCGUGCUUAACACAUGCAAGUCGAACGGUGACCCAGGGCUUGCCCUGGUGAUCAGUGGCGAACGGGUGAGUAACACGUGGGCAACCUGCCCUGACUUCGGGAUAACUCCUCGAAAGAGGAGCUAAUACCGGAUACGACCACUUCGGACAUCCGAUGGUGGUGGAAAGUUUUUCGGUCAGGGAUGGGCCCGCGGCCUAUCAGCUAGUUGGUGGGGUAAUGGCCUACCAAGGCGACGACGGGUAGCCGGCCUGAGAGGGCGACCGGCCACACUGGGACUGAGACACGGCCCAGACUCCUACGGGAGGCAGCAGUGGGGAAUAUUGCGCAAUGGGCGAAAGCCUGACGCAGCGACGCCGCGUGAGGGGAUGAAGGCCUUCGGGUUGUAAACCUCUUUCAGCAGGGACGAAGCGAAAGUGACGGUACCUGCAG